rnacentral:snRNA from 1 species
UAGAUGGUCUCAUACUCU